rnacentral:rRNA from 1 species
AGUGAACGCUGGCGGUAGGCCUAACACAUGCAAGUCGAACGGCAGCACAGUAAGAGCUUGCUCUUACGGGUGGCGAGUGGCGGACGGGUGAGGAAUACAUCGGAAUCUCCUUUUUCGUGGGGGUUAACGUAGGGAAACUUACGCUAAUACCGCAUACGACCUACGGGUGAAAGCAGGGGUUUUUCGGACCUUGCGCGAUUGAAUGAGCCGAUGUCGGAUUAGCUAGUUGGCGGGGUAAAGGCCCACCAAGGCGACGAUCCGUAGCUGGUCUGAGAGGAUGAUCAGCCACACUGGAACGGGGACGCGGUCCAGGCUCCUACGGGGGGCAGCAGUGGGGAAUAUUGGACAAUGGGCGCAAGCCUGAUCCAGCCAUACCGCGUGGGUGAAGAAGGCCUUCGGGUUGUAAAGCCCUUUUGUUGGGAAAGAAAAGCAGCAGGUUAAUACCCCGCUGUUCUGACGGUACCCAAAGAAUAAGCACCGGCUAACUUCGUG